rnacentral:lncRNA from 1 species
AUAUUUUAUCUUUUCUGAUAAAAUAAUUCAUUUAGAUAUAUUAUUUUAAUAAUAUAUUAACGGUGAUAUUUUUAUAAUGAAUGUGGGAUAUAUGAGUAUAUGAGGAGGAAGAGUAUUUUUAUGGCAUUAAAUAUUUAACACAUGUUUUGUGUGUCGGUGGACACAAUUCUUGACCGAAAAUUGAUUAUAGACUGUAAUAUCGUCCGUUUAUGGAUUUUGGUCAAUUUCUCUUUAGAAUUUGGAAAAC